rnacentral:rRNA from 1 species
UACGAAGGGUGCAAGCGUUACUCGGAAUUACUGGGCGUAAAGCGUGCGUAGGUGGUGAGUUAAGUCUGUCGUGAAAGCCCCGGGCUCAACCUGGGAAUGGCGAUGGAUACUGGCUCGCUAGAGUGCGGUAGAGGAGAGUGGAAUUCCCGGUGUAGCAGUGAAAUGCGUAGAUAUCGGAAGGAACAUCAGUGGCGAAAGCGGCUUCCUGGACCAGUACCGACGUUCAGGCACGAAAGCGUGGGGAGCAAACAGG